UACAGAGACUGCAAGCGUUAUUCGGAUUUACUGGGUUUAAAGGGUGCGUAGGUGGGUCUGUAAGUCAGUGGUGAAAUCUCCGAGCUUAACUCGGAAACUGCCAUUGAUACUAUAGGUCUUGAAUUAUCUGGAGGUAAGCGGAAUAUGUCAUGUAGCGGUGAAAUGCUUAGAUAUGACAUAGAACACCAAUUGCGAAGGCAGCUUACUACGGAUUGAUUGACACUGAGGCACGAAAGCGUGGGGAUCAAACAGG
rnacentral:rRNA from 1 species